rnacentral:rRNA from 1 species
CAGUCGCCGCGGUAAUACGGAGGGUGCAAGCGUUACCCGGAUUUACUGGGCGUAAAGGGCGUGUAGGCGGCCUGGGGCGUCCCAUGUGAAAGGCCACGGCUCAACCGUGGAGGAGCGUGGGAUACGCUCAGGCUAGAGGGUGGGAGAGGGUGGUGGAAUUCCCGGAGUAGCGGUGAAAUGCGCAGAUACCGGGAGGAACGCCGAUGGCGAAGGCAGCCACCUGGUCCACUUCUGACGCUGAGGCGCGAAAGCGUGGAGAGCAAACCGGAUUAGAUACCCGCGUAGUCCCUGUCUCUUAUAC